UUGGAGGGCAAGUCUGGUGCCAGCAGCCGCGGUAAUUCCAGCUCCAAUAGCGUAUAUUAAAGUUGUUGCAGUUAAAAAGCUCGUAGUUGAAUUUCGGGAUUCAUCCGUUGGUCGGGCCUCACGGUCCGUACUGGUGUGAUGGGUUCCUACCUUCUGAAUAACCGGCAUGCCAUUAAUUUGGUGCGCCGGGGAAGCAGAACUAUUACCUUGAAAAAAUUAGAGUGCUUAAAGCAGGCAAGUGCCUGAAUAGGUUAGCAUGGAAUAAUAAAAUAGGACGGCAUGGUUCUAUUUUGUUGGUUUCUAGGAUCACCGUAAUGAUUAAUAGGGAUAGUUGGGGGCAUUAGUAUUCAAUUGUCAGAGGUGAAAUUCUUGGAUUUAUUGAAGACUAACUUCUGCGAAAGCAUUUGCCAAGGAUGUUUUCAUUAAUCAAGAACGAAAGUUAGGGGAUCGAAGACGAUCAGAUACCGUCGUAGUCUUAACCAUAAACUAUGCCGACUAGGGAUCGGACGAUGUUAAUUUUUUAAUGACUCGUUCGGCGCCUUACGGGAAAC
rnacentral:rRNA from 1 species